rnacentral:rRNA from 1 species
UNUGACUUGAGUGCAGAAGGGGAGAGUGGAAUUCCAUGUGUAGCGGUGAAAUGCGUAGAUAUAUGGAGGANCACCAGUGGCGAAAGCGGCUCUCUGGUCUGUCACUGACGCUGAGGCUCGAAAGCGUGGGUAGCGAACAGGAUUAGAUACCCUGGUAGUNCACGCCGUAAACGAUGAGUGCUAGGUGUUAGGCCCUUUCCGGGGCUUAGUGCCGGAGCUAACGCAAUAAGCACUCCGCCUGGGGAGUACGACCGCAAGGUUGAAACUCAAAGGAAUUGACGGGGGCCCGCACAAGCGGUGGAGCAUGUGGUUUAAUUCGAAGCAACGCGAAGAACCUUACCAGGUCUUGACAUCCCGAUGCUAUUCUUAGAGAUAGGAAGUUACUUCGGUACAUCGGAGACAGGUGGUGCAUGGUUGUCGUCAGCUCGUGUCGUGAGAUGUUGGGUUAAGUCCCGCAACGAGCGCAACCCUUAUUGUUAGUUGCCAUCAUUAAGUUGGGCACUCUAGCGAGACUGCCGGUAAUAAACCGGAGGAAGGUGGGGAUGACGUCAAAUCAUCAUGCCCCUUAUGACCUGGGCUACACACGUGCUACAAUGGUCGGUACAACGAGUCGCGAGCCGGUGACGGCAAGCUAAUCUCUGAAAGCCGAUCUCAGUUCGGAUUGGGGGCUGCAACUCGCCUCCAUGAAGUCGGAAUCGCUAGUAAUCGCGGAUCAGCACGCCGCGGUGAAUACGUUCCCGGGCCUUGUACACACCGCCCGUCACACCACGAGAGUUUGUGACACCCGAAGUCGGUGAGGUAAC